rnacentral:rRNA from 1 species
GAACAAGUGCAUGUGGUGGAUGCCUUGGCGAUCACAGGCGAUGAAGGACGCGGUAGCCUGCGAAAAGCUACGGGGAGCUGGCAAACGAGCUUUGAUCCGUAGAUGUCCGAAUGGGGAAACCCACUCCGUAUGGAGUAUCCAUGGCUGAAUACAUAGGCCAUGCGAAGCGAACGCGGUGAACUGAAACAUCUAAGUAACCGCAGGAAAAGAAAUC